AUGGUGCCCUCAGGGCCAAGGCAGUGGCACUGCCCAGGCAUGCCGCCCUCAGAUUUUGCAACUGCAGCAUGCCUUGGGCUCCUUCUACCAGUUCCUGGAACCCUGGCAUGGCCGAUCGCAUUGACUGCCCAACCCUCCCCAGUCUGUCUCUCUCCCUGGAAUGCCAGCUCCACAGGCACCCAGGAAGCACCCUGCAUACAACUGCGGCGCUGUUCAUGUGUACUGCACAGCCACUCGGGAACAUGCUCUGUGCUGGGACGCUCACAUGGGAACCCCUUGGCAACCUCACAAAACCAGGAAGGGGUGUUUUAUGGCUCCUAUUUCCCAGAGGCAGAAACUGAUGCUCAGAAGGGGAGGCUCACCUGCUCAAGGUCAUCCUGCAAAGAAGUGACGGAGCUGAGGUUCUCAUCCAGCUCCCUUUGCCAUCCGAGGCUCCCGGCCAAGUUGCUGCCUGGCUCCUCCUGGACUCAUACGCUUGCAGGACUAAAGCGCAAGGAAACAUGGGGCAACCAGAGAUGCCUGGACCUUUGCGUCCACCCAUCAGGCCUUGUGGGGAGCUACAAGGGGGGUCAGCAGUGUCACUUUUUUGGAGGGCCUGUGUUGGGGGACUGUGGGCGCAAUAGGGGAUAGACAGUGCAGGAGGAGGGGAAGAGGAAACUUGUUCCCAUCACACAUCACAGCCAUGGUACCCUGGCCUCCAACAACCAGGCCGGGGAUCCAGAGUGACUCCCACCCCCAAGGAGGAUGCGCUGCAGCCACUCAGCGGGCUGACUUCUUUUUCCGGUAACUAUUACUCAGCUCCGGCAUCUGGGAGAAAGGUCAGGGAUGUGGCCAGCAGCAGUAACUGGACUGGAUGAGGGAGAGGGUGGAAUUCCCACUCCUCCCAACUCCCAGGCUGGCUUCCUGCUGCCUCCUUGCAGGUGUUGGAUGUCCCCAGAGGCAGGGAGGGGGCAGGAGAGACUCCCUGAUCUCUAUAUGGCCCAGACAGUCAUACAGGGCAGACUCCAUGCUGGUCCAGCCCAUGAUCCACUUCCUCCCAUGCUGGCCACCUGUCGCCAGCCUUCGGGACACACACUCACCACUGUAACUGAAUCUACCAGGCAGCUCUGUGGAUCCCCCCACCCUGUGACUGGCGCAGACUCAGGGAGAGUGAGAUGGGAGGGGGCAGGAGGGGCAGAGCAGGAGUUGGCAAGCAGGGCCAGGCUUCAGUCCUUCACCCUCUGCUCUUUCCCUCCUCCUGCUCUUCCAUCUUCCAGAUGGGCAGUUACCUAAUUUCCUCCACUGCUCAUAGCCUGUAACACCCCUGUGGGUCCACUGUGCGUGGGGCACUGACCGGGCACACAUGGUUUCUAACUGCUCAGGAUAGACCCCCGAUCUGCCUCUGACUUUACAACCUGUGGGUAUGAACAUUCCACGCGCUCUUGCUUUGCUGUGGGGUUAAGUGGAUUUCAUGGGUCCCAUUUUACAGAUGGGGAAACUGAGAAUCUGAGAGGUGAAGAAAUUUGCCCAGUGGGGGCUGAUUCAGAUCCUCUCUGGUUUCCUGGAUUUCAGUCCUGCCUCCACCCAAUCCCAUCUGAAAAAUGUCCCCCAAUUUCUCCAUGGCUCCUCAUCGCCCUAAGAAUAAAAUCCACGGUCAUCUUCACGGCCCAAGGCCCUGCAUGACCUGCCCCGUCCCCUGCCUCCCCUCCCCUCCUCCCUCUCUCCCCUUCACUCACUCUGCUUGUGCCUCAUGGGCUUCCUUCCUGUUCCUCCAAUACACCAGGACCAGUCCUUUGCCCAGACCUUUGCACAGACUGUGCUUUCUGCCAGGGACACAUUCCCCCAAUGUCUUAAAGCUGGCUUCUCAUCUUUCACGACACUUUCUCUAUAAGGCCUUCCCUCCCUUCACCCCUUCCACUUGCCACCCACCUAUCGUCCUAGUUUUUUUUUGUUUGUUUGUUUCAUAGCCUCAGCAUUGUUAGAUGCUGUGUCUGUGUACACCUGUCUUGGUCACUGCUGUAUCUCCAGUGCCUGGAACAGGGCUCAACACCCAGUAGGAGUCUGAUAAACAUUUAGGCCAGUGAUCAGCAGACUAUGGC
rnacentral:lncRNA from 1 species